rnacentral:rRNA from 1 species
AGCCAUGCGAGUCAUUGUAGCAAUACAAGGCAGACGGCUCAGUAACACGUAGUCAACCUAACUCGUGGACGUGGAUAACCUCGGGAAACUGAGAAUAAACCACGAUAGAUCAUAGUGCCUGGAAUGGCUUAUGGUUCAAACAGUUUACUACCAUGGGAUGGGACUGCGGCCUAUCAGCUCGUUGGUGAGGUAAUGGCCCACCAAGGCGAUUACAGGUACGGGCUCUGAGAGGAGAAGCCCGGAGAUGGGUACUGAGACACGGACCCAGGCCCUAUGGGGCGCAGCAGGCGAGAAACCUUAGCAAUGUGCGAAAGCACGACUGGGUCAGUCCGAGUGAUUCCUGAUAAAGGAGACUUUUGCUUGUCCUAAAAGCACAGGUGAAUAAGGGGUGGGCAAGUCUGGUGUCAGCCGCCGCGGUAAUACCAGCACCUCGAGUGGUCAGGACGUUUAUUGGGCCUAAAGCAUCCGUAGCCGGCUCUGCAAGUCUUCGGUUAAAUCCACCUGCUCAACAGAUGGGCUGCUGGAGAUACUACAGAGCUAGGGAGUGGGGAGAGGCAGACGGUAUUCAGUGGGUAGGGGUAAAAUCCUCUGAUCCAUUGAGGACCACCAGUGGCGAAAGCGGUCUGCCAGAACACGUUCGACGGUGAGGGAUGAAAGCUGGGGGAGCAAACCGGAUUAGAUACCCGGGUAGUCCCAGCUGUAAACGAUGCAACUCGGUGAUGCGUUGGCUUAUGGCACGCAGUGCCGCAGGAGCCGUUAGUUGCCGCCUGGGAAGUACGGACCGCAAGUUCUGA